rnacentral:pre_miRNA from 1 species
UUGAAGAAUUUGAAGACUUCGACUUGCAGACUCUUCAACUUGUAGACUUGAAGAAUUUGAAGACUUCAACU